AUAUCCAAUGUUUUUAACGUAGUUUUACGCUGUAAUACUUUUGAGAUGAGAAACUUUGGUGGGAAACUUGUUGAGACCAGAAGUUUCGACCUGCUUUAAUUUUUGUGUUCGGUUCCUCGCUCGAAUUCUCGACCCUAACUCUCGAACUCUCGAAGCCUAACAAUAAAUCCUAGGCCGAAAGACCGCGGUAUUGCAGGUACCUGCUUUUAUAAGAAAGAGUGGGGGCUUCGGUCUCUUAUUCAGUUUCACGUCUCUUGUCCAGCAGUGUUCCUGUGAGAGUGAAAUGAAAGAAGCGUUACUGUGAAAGAAACUACAUUAUGGAAUUUGACGAGAGAUUUAAGGAUACACCUCCAGGCUUCCAGAUUCCCUCUUCUUCCUUCGCGUGGGAAAAUGGGAAAGAAAUUUUACAACGAAAUAGUUGAUUGAACGCUGGGAGAAAGAAAAAUAAUUGAGGAUCGUCAAUUAUUAUUAUUUCUGACGAGAUUGAUCAAUCUGAAUAAAAUAAAUAAAAGCAAACUGUUACUUUGUUUGCGUUGCACCGGACGAUGACGAUGAUUAUGUCGCAGAAGAAUUUACCUGCACCAAACCUUCUCGAUUGUAUACUCUUUUGUGGCAUACAAAGAAAGUCGCUGUAGCAGCAGCAGCAUAACAUCUAAAAUGGAAUUUUAAGAAUAUGCAGACGCAUGGAGCGGCUCGUUUGAACAAAAAAGAAAACGGAUGAAAAGAAGAUGUAAAGUGUGGAGGAACGCACCUUGAUAGAUGGAAGACCAUCAAUCACGAGACAUAUGAUGCUGAUUUAUGUAUAUUGUAGAAUUGUAUAUAUAGAAUAGAAGCUAGGAAGCGAGGAUGCAACAGAUAUUGAUGAGGACAUUAUAACAGUGGGCAACAAAGUGCAAGUUUCUCUUUCUUGUCCGAAAACUUUAGUUUCGGCUAUGGUGGACGGAAAGAUUGAAGAAAAAGACACAAGAUCAAGUGAGAAGAAAUGACGAAAUAUAUAAGCUCCAGAGCUCUCUAUUCGCUAGAAUAGAGGAAGCAUUAGCAGCUACAAAAACAUUUCGAGUGCAAACGAAAACACUCACUUGUAAUUGCGACCAUGAUUUUGUAAUUGAUAUACGUAGAUCAAAUUGGUUGUCAAUCGACGUAUAAUAGAUUGUUCGCCGAUCAGCAAAGAUCAAAAACUGUGAUGAUAAAACAUUUGAAGUAAAAAUUUAAGUAAUAUUAUUCGUUUUUACACGGCAGUUUACAGUACGCGCCGACUGCAUCGGAAAAGAUUCUUCUAUUUAUCUUCUUGUGUGUGCGAGAACCGUCUGGAAAAUUGCGCUCCAAAAUCGCACCAAAAGAAAGUAGUUGAGUUGAGAAGCAACAAAUUUAAGUGAAAACAUUGUUGUUACAUUGUUGUACAAAAUGUGCCAAAUUUAGGGAAAGGAAUCAUUACGAAUCAUUUUUGAAAAUUGUUCUGUUUCUCUGUGUAGAAAAAAUAAUUUUUUACUAGUUUAAAGUUUUAGUCCUUGAUUCGUGAAGAGGGCAAAGAGAUUUUUGUUAAAAAUUGCUCCCGCGUUGUUGAAGAAUCAGAGAUAAAUUGCUCCGAGGGAAGAUGCGAUCAAAGUACACUCUUUAAUUUUGCAUCAAUUAAUAUAAAAUGAAUGAUUUUCCGCAAAAUUGACGAAGGGAAGGGAAAUAUCUUUUCGAAUGUAAACGAUUUCCGGUGUUUUCCGGUGUUGCUUCUAAAAACACCAUGUAACGCCUGUAACGCUAAACGCUUGCUUUUAUAAAAUGCGCUUAGUAUGUAUUUUAGAAUUUUAUGUUUUUCUUGUUUUUAUGAUAAAUAUCUGAAAUUCAAUUAAUUCAGUUCAAUUAAUAAAGAGGAUUUUGUAGUGUAAUAUAGGUAAUGAUUUGCGUAAAAUAAGAUAUAAAUAUCCUCCAUUAAUA